rnacentral:lncRNA from 1 species
AUGGCCACGCUCAGGGUCCUGGGGGUCCUGCCUGAAGCCCAAGCCAAGGUGCAGGUGUUCCAUGAAGACCUGUGUAGUAAGACAGAGAACCUGCUCUGGAGCUAUUUCCCCAAGAAGAUUUCUGAGUUGGAUGUUUUUUUUGUGGGGGAUGCAUUUUUAAAGGAGCUAGCUCUCAAUGAAGCCAAUCUGAAGGCCCUGGUAGGCAUCCCAGUCUUGAUCAAUCAAAGAGAAAGAAAAGGAGGAGGGGAAAAAAUCAGCAAGAGAAGGAAGACAAGGAUGAAAAGAAGACAGGGGAAGAUGAAGACAAAGGUCCUCCACGAUGUAGCCCAGUGAGCUGCAAUGAGAAGACUGGGGUCCUCCUGCAGCAUGUGCAGCCUGAGAUCAAGGAUGUCACUGAGAAGCUCAACCUGGUCACCACCUGGUUGCAGCUGCAGAUACUUCAGAUUCAGGAUGGGAACAAUUUUGGAGUGGCUGUCCAGAAGGUAUUUGAACUGAUAACAGCCCUUCACACCAAACUGGAAGGCUUUCACACACAAAUCUCCCAAGUACUUCUCUGAGUACGGUGAUACCAUGACCAAAGCAGCUAAGCAGCCCCACGUGGGUCUUAUCGACAACUGGUGCAGGAGCUGGAAGAGGCAGAGUACCAUCAGACAGGAUAUCUGGCUGAUGGUCAUGGAGAUCCGCAAUGCUUAUACUGUAUUAUACAUCAUCAUCCUGAAGAAUUUCGAAAGCCCAAAAGCCCAAAAUCCCAGGGAAGAAAUGAAGGGAAUGAUCUAUUGA